UACGUAGGGGGCAAGCGUUGUCCGGAAUUAUUGGGCGUAAAGCGCGCGUAGGCGGUUUCUUAAGUCUGAUGUGAAAUCUUGUGGCUCAACCGCAAGCGGUCAUUGGAAACUGGGGAACUUGAGUGCAGAAGAGGAGAGUGGAAUUCCACGUGUAGCGGUGAAAUGCGUAGAGAUGUGGAGGAACACCAGUGGCGAAGGCGACUCUCUGGUCUGUAACUGACGCUGAGGUGCGAAAGCGUGGGUAGCGAACAGG
rnacentral:rRNA from 1 species